UCAGGUGCCUUAGAAGAAUCCCUUCACCCAUGUUUGGCAAGAAAGACCUGUUAACAUGUCCCACUCUCAGCACCCUUGGUCUUCCCACUGAUUCCUUGCUGUGGUAACGUUGAUUUGAAAACUAAUGUGACUAUUGGCUGCCUGGCUACUGGGUUCAUGCCAUCUCCUGUGGAAAUAACAUGGACUGGAGGAAGCAAAAUCUCUUCUGUUAGAUCAACAAAACCUGUUCUUGGAGCAACAGAUGGUCUCUUUAUACAAAGUGGCCAGAUCAGCAUCCCAGCAUCAGAACUAAAAAAUGCCCCUGUCCAAUGUAGUGUGGCACAUUCUUUCUCUGGCACAAACCAAAAGAAGACAUUACGAGCAUUGCCAUGCACCCAGCCAACUGUGCAGUUGUUACUGCAGCCCCCCUGUGCCAAUGCAGAGCUUGUUAAAGCUGCUGUAGGACAUAAGAAUAUUAACACUACAUUGGACUUGGUCUGUCUUAUUUCCAACUUUUACCCGCAAAACAUCCGUGUACAAUGGUUGGUGAAUGGAAAGGAAGAUGUCAGUGCAAGCGCAACAGUGCCAGUACCUCUGAAGGCAAAUGAUGGCCUUUUCACUGCCAAUAGUCAUCUUACAAUCCUGGAAGGAAAAUGGAACAAAGGCACUGGAUACUCGUGUAUUGUGACACACAUUGCUUCUAAAAUUGAUACUGUUGCUAAUAUCAGCAAAUGCACAGAACCAUGUUCUGACAGCUUGGAAAUUUACCUGAUCCCACCAACUUUUGAAGACUUGUAUAUCAAACGCAAUGCCAAGAUUGUCUGUUUCGUAAACAACAUGAGAACCACUGAAAACGUUGAGGUCAUUUGGACCAGGGAAAAUGGAAAUGUCACAUUUCUCACUGAGGAUCCAAUUCUUCAUGACAAUGGGACUUACAGUAUGUACAGUUACCUCAAAAUCUGUUCUGAAGACUGGGAAACUGGGGAGAAGUUCACAUGCACAGUCAAAAGCCAAGACUUGCCAUCACCACUUAAGAAAGUGAUCUUCAAACACAAUGAGAGGACACCUAGUGCUCCGUAUGUAUACGUCCUUCCCCCAGCCCAUGAAGAGCUUGAGCAGGAAGAGCUGGCUUCAAUCACCUGCUUUGUGACAACAUUUUACCCUAACGAUAUUCUCAUUAAAUGGUUGGAUGGUGGCAAUGAGGUCAGCGUAGACAAGUAUGUGAACACAGCACCCAUCAAAAAGGACGAUGGUACCUAUGUUAUGUAUAGUUAUUUGACCGUCUCCGCCAACAAAUGGAAAGAUGGAAAUGUAUUCACUUGUGUUGUUGGACAUGAAGCACUUCCCUACUACAUCAGACAACAAAGCAUUGAUAAGUCAAGCGUAUUCAUAUGUAUAGAUGAUGAAUGCACUCGAGAUUUGGAAAAUGUAUGGUUUACAGCGUCCACUUUUAUGGUUCUUUUUCUUGUGAGCCUCUUCUAUACAGCAACAGUCACGGUAUUUAAGGUUAAAGGCUGAAAUCUGUCAUCAGUCCUCUAAAAAAAGAAGUAUUUCAUUAAUAUGUGAUGUGUUUUGCUCAAGUCAUCCUGGAAAUGCCAAUUUGUGUUACUGAAGAAACAGCUAUCAUUAUACCAUACUGAAGAGUUGGGAUGUUAUA